AAAAUCACACAAAGGCACCAGCAAGUGGAAUUGAAAGUGUGAUACAGAUGAGGGGGGAGUUGGGGGGGUACGGAUGAAAACAGGAUUAGACUCCACAGGCCUGGUUCCCACAGAUUGCCUGAAAUGGGGAACAGAUUUAAAGCAGAGUGCAACUCUUGCAUCACAGUCAGCGUAUAAAGGUCUGACUGUCUCUGCCUUUAAAGUGUUUGGGUCUGACUCCGGAUGUGUCUAAAUGAUAACACCUCUCCAUGCUCAUUGGAGGCCUCCCAGAUCCGUCUCCUCAACCUCGGUGUUAUCUGUGAUCAUACGCCCCCACGCUAUCGAGCUCAGUCAAAGACCAUCCCAUGGAAGAGGAGUGCUGCUGUGAGGAUCUCCCUUGAUAUAUGAGCUGCCAGGGAAUCUCAGAGUGUCUCACUUGAGGAGAAGAAGGCCCGGUGUGCUGAGGCCCAAAAUGAGUCACUGCAGCAGACUGUGAUAAUAAUGUGGAUCAAGCAUUUGAAGACAUUUAUCACUUCAUGUUGAUUGUGGAUAAGGAUGUUAGAUCAGGGGAUGUAUUGAUGUUUGAAAAUUCAUCAUUUCAUGAGGUGUUUUUACUGUCUGACAAAUACAAAUGUCUGAAUGACAAGCUCAAAUAUUAAACAUUUCUAAAUCAA